rnacentral:lncRNA from 1 species
AUGUUUUAUCUUGAUUUUCAUUCAUCUAAAAAUAUUUUCUUUUUUUUUUUUUUAAAGAUUUUAUUUAUUUAUUCGACAGAGAUAGAGACAGCCAGCGAGAGAGGGAACACAAGCAGGGGGAGUGGGAGAGGAAGAAGCAGGCUCAUAGCGGAAGAGCCUGAUGUGGGGCUCGAUCCCACAAUGCCGGGAUCACGCCCUGAGCCGAAGGCAGAUGCUUAACCGCUGUGCCACCCAGGUGCCCCUGAAAAUCCUUUUUUAAUUAAUUAAUUUCUCACUGUCAACUGUAGUUCUCUCCCAGCUGGACACCUGAUUUGGAAAUAAUACCUAUGAAUAUAGGUUAAAUGUGAGUUAAAAGUCAACCUCCUGUAGUCUCAAUCUAUAGGAUCAAUGCGAGAGUCAUUCUGAGGUAUCUGUCUUUCUCCUUGCUAAGCUUUCUGCUCUUGCUCUCACCUCCCAUCUGAGCAGAGGUUCUGAGUUUUUUGUGCCCUCUCGCUAUUCCCAACAUUAGGCCAGAAUAGAACAGAGAGAUAGUGACUAUAGCUAUUUAAGCAGUGGCCAAAUACAGCUUUUGACCUGAUUAAGGAAGUAUAUUAAUGUACUUUUAAAGAGAAGGACGCCAUAUUUCCUUUAACCUCUAUAAUUAUAGCUAAAGUAAAUCGGUUUUGCCUUUCAUCCUUUCUAUUCUUGAUUUUCUAUUGAAUCUCAAGUGGAGCAAAGCUUGCUAUGCUUUUGUAGGACUUUAAAAUUAAGCUUAAAGGGAAAAAAUUUAAAAGCAAUAUUGUGAGGAAAGUUAUUCAUCUUUACUUUUAGAAGCCUCAGAUGACUUGACUGUUUCAACAGGAUUUUCUUUCAAUAUAUCCUAUUCACAAGGGCUAAAGGAAUCUUCUCUAGUAUCACAAACUGAUGGAACCAUGUGUAACCAAGGGACAGCUAUAUGCCAUGGCAAGCAUUUAUUGAAUAUUAGCACGUGCCAGGAACAAUGCUUAGUGGCACUGGGGAAGCAAAUAUGAAUAUGUCCCAUAUCCAUAGCCUUAAAGAACUCACAGCAUAGUUAGGAAAGAAAGUUGUGAAAAAAUAAGUACCAGAAUGAUGGAAGAGGGUAAAGUGAAGUAGGACUUGAAUGGAAGGAGCUAUUGCUUUUUUCUGAGGUACACUGUAAGAAGUCAGGGCAUGCUUCACAGUGCAUUGCAUUAGGACUGGAUAAUAAAGAUCAUAAGAGAUAGUAAUUCUACUAGAGGCACCCUAGAGGACCAGAGAGGGCAGCGGUUGCUGAAAUAGCCUGGAGGAUCUGUUGGGCAUCUUCUAGGAGGUUUUGCAGCACCUGGAACUGGUGUCUCAUACCCACUUUAUAUCUCUAAGCGUUGUUUUGGGUCCUGAGAGCCAACCCACUGUUUUGGUUUCCAUGGAAGAUCCCUUGAACUAAAGAUAUUUCCCAUUGAACUGUUCUCCCCACCUGAGAUCAUUCUACUGCAGUUAUGCCACAUAAUGGAACUCUAGAGAACAUGAGUUGAGGGUCAGUUUUCUUUGAUGCUUGGUUCUGGACAAUUCUGAGCUGAACUGGGAGGGCAAGCAGACAAGAAGCAUCAUGCCUGGAGUGAUAUAAUGCAAAUGUAGCAAUGAUCUGAGGGGAUUUAUGUCCUUAUAUUGAAGAAGUGCUUUCAGGUCUUACAAAUACAGGUAAAUAUAAGCAGUAACAUUUACAUGAGUAGUUUCUUUUUCCUCUUAAUAAGGCCACUUAGCAUAAUGCUUAACAGAUACUAUUCCUCAAGAAAUAUUAUGGAGUGACUUGUUUGGAUAUCAGCUUUUGGCCGAUAGUAUGAAAGUUUCUAUUCUUAAAUAAAUCUAAAAUGCUGUGUAUUUUGGUAUAAAAGUAAAAAAGAAUUAAGUUUCUAGCUUUAAAAACCUUAGACAUCCACCUUAACCAAGUGACCAAGUUAGAAUAACUAGUUACAAUACAUGUCAGUAACAUGAACCCCAGAUUUCAUGCACUGCAUAGAACAUGAUAACUCCUUCUGUGGCCAUAUUAUAAAAGGAAAGACUAAGGAACAAUAUAGAUUGGAGGAGACUGAGUGGGGGGAAGCUAAAUGCAAUGUGGGUUUCUGGAUAGGAUUCUAGGACAGAAAAAGGACAUUAGUGGAAAAACUGGUAAAAUUUGAAUAAGUUCUGUUGUUUAGUUAGUAUUGUACAAUUAUCAAUGUCCUGGAUUUGGUAAUUGUACUAUGACUAAGACGUUAACAUUAGGGGAAACUGGGUGAGGGUGUAUGGAAGGUUUUUUUUUUUUUUUUUUUUAAAGAUUUUAUUUAUUUGACAGCCAGCGAGAGAGGGAACACAAGCAGGGGGAGUGGGAGAGGAAGAAGCAGGCUCAUAGCGGAGGAGCCUGAUGUGGGGCUCGAUCCCAUAACGCCGGGAUCACGCCCUGAGCCGAAGGCAGACGCUUAACGACUGUGCCACCUAGGCGCCCCGUAUGGAAGUUUUUGUACUAUUUUUGCAACUUUUUAUUAAAGUCCAAAAUUAGUUAUCAUUAGUUAAAAAAAACUUAUACCUGUGUAAAUUCCAUCCAAAGACAUACUGGAAAUGCAGAUUUAUUAUUAUUAUUAUUAUUAAUUUUUUACAAUUCGAUAGUUUUAUUAAAUUCGUCCAACUACAGAAAUAGGACACAUUAUGUUUGUUUGUUUGUUUGUUUUGGUGCCAAGGGGGGUUUCUAAAUAAGUCUUUUUUUUUUUAAGUUUUUAUUUAAAUUCCAGUUAGUUAACAUGCAGUGUAAUAUUAGUUUCAGGUGUACAAUGUAAUGACUCAACAUUUCCAUACAAGACUGGUGCUCAUCACAAGUGCGCUCCUUAAUCCCCAUCAUCUAUUUCACCCAUACCUCCACACACCUUCCCUCUGGUAACCAUUUUUUGUUACCAUCUUUGUUUCUUGGUUUGCCUCUCUCUCUCUCUUUCUUUCCUCCUCUUUGUUCAUUUGUUUUUUCUCAAAUUCCACAUAUGAGUGAGAUCAUAUUAUAUUUGUCUUUCUCUGACUGAUUUAUUUCACUUAACAUUAAACUCUCUAGAUCCAUCCAUCUCUUUGCAAAUGACAAGAUUUCAUUUUUUUCGAUGGCUGAGUAAUAUUCUAGUGUGUGUGUGUGUGUGUGUGUGUGUGUGUGUGUGUGUGUGUAUCUUUAUCCAUUCAUCAGUUAAUGGGUGCUUGGGCUGUUUCUAUAAUUUGGCUAUUGUACAUAAUGCUGCUAUUAACAUUGGGGUGCAUGUAUCCAUUUGAAUUAGUAUCUCUGUAUUCUUUGGGUAAAUACUUAGUAGUGAAAUUGCUGGAUUGUAGGGUAGUUCUAUUUUUAACUUUCUGAGGCACCUCCAUACUGUUUUCCAUAGUGACAGUACCAGUUUGCAUUUCCACCAACAGUGCAAGAGUGUUCUCCUUUCUCCACAUCCUUGCCAAUACCUGUUAUUUCUUGUGCUGUUGAUUUUAACCAUUCUGACAGGUUUGAGGUGAUAUCUCAUUGUAGUUUUGAUUUGUAUUUCCUUGAUGAUCAGUGAUGUUGAGCGUCUUUUUAUGUGUCUGUUGGCCAUCUAUAUGUCAUCUAGGGAAAAAUGUCUAUUCAUGUCUUCUACCCCAUUUUUAAUUGGAUUAUUCAUUUUUUGGUUAUCG